rnacentral:sRNA from 1 species
UUUUUUAUAGGUGUAAGAGGGUGAGAAGCCUCGUAGGUUCGAGUCGAGCGCGAAUGCGCAAGGCAGCGCCAGAACAAAGUGAUGGUGACCCGUAGGGCGAAGGCAAAGCCUGAGUAAUCCCUCUCUCACCGCCA